rnacentral:rRNA from 1 species
UACGGGGGGGGCAAGCGUUGUUCGGAAUUACUGGGCGUAAAGGGCUCGUAGGCGGCCAACUAAGUCAGACGUGAAAUCCCUCGGCUUAACCGGGGAACUGCAUCUGAUACUGGAUGGCUUGAGUUCGGGAGAGGGAUGCGGAAUUCCAGGUGUAGCGGUGAAAUGCGUAGAUAUCUGGAGGACACCGGUGGCGAAGGCGGCAUCCGUGGACCGACACUGACACUGAGGAGCGAAAGCCAGGG